CCUACGGGAGGCUGCAGUCGAGAAUUAUUCACACUGCGGGAAACCCUGAUGCUGCGACGCCGCGUGCGGGAAUGAACGUCUUCGGUCUGUAAACCCCUGUCCUGUGGGAGCAACUAAACAAGCUAGCACCACACGAGGAAAAGCCGGCUAACUCUGUGCCAGCAGCCGCGGUAAUACGGAGGUCUCAAGCGUUGUUCGGUAGCACGGGUCGUAAGGCGUGCGAAGGCGGUUUCGUAAGUAGUGUGUGAAAGGCGCGGGCCCAACCGGCGGACGGCACAUGAUACUGCGAGACUAGGGUAAUGGAGGGGGAACCGGAAUUCUCGGUGUAGCAGUGAAAUGCGUAGAUAUCGAGAGGAACACUCGGGGCGAAGGCGGGUUCCUGGACAUUAACUGACGCUGAGGCACGAAGGCCAGGGGAGCGAAAGGGAUUAGAUACCCUUGUAGUC
rnacentral:rRNA from 1 species